UUCCUAGUCGGAUUCGUUAACCACUGCGCCACGACGGGAACUCCGAGGUGCUUUUCUAUGACUGGCACUUCAUAGAUUAUUUGCUUUGGUCCUCAUAGUAGCACUAAAAGCUGUCAUUCCCCUCAUUUCAUAGAUGAGAACACUGAGGCCCAGGGAGCCCAUUAAGUCCAAGGUCACACAACUGGCUGGUGUAUUGUGAUUCUAAGCCAGCUUUUGCAUGGCAUGAUGCAUAUAUUAAUUCAUUUAAAUUUUGCAAGAACCCCCCAGCUUAUGUAUUAUGAAUCUCAUUUACACACAUGGAACUGAGACCCAGACGCAAAUGGCUUACCUGAAGUCAUACAGUGAGGGCAGAAGCUGAACUUGGACCCAGGUCCCCAGGUGCCUCAUGGGGGCUUCCUUGAGAAGGAGUUUUGCUUCCACCUUAUAAAGCCAGGAGCUCUUUACUCUUGAGAGGCGAGGGAGGGGAUGGGAGUGGGGUUUGAGGAGAGGUGGGAGUAGCGGUGAGUUCUGCUGGGAGAGGCCCCUCCUGGCCAGGUGACAGCAUCUCCACCUCCGUGGCACAUAGACAAAGUCACAUGGCUUCUUCCCUGCAGUUCUGCAGGGAUGCACCUUCCACACUUGUAUGUCCAGGCUGGGGCUCGGGAGACCAAAUUCAAUUUGUCUUUUGGUCUCUCCAGUACAAGCAGCUGGUGAUGCCUAGGUCUACCUAGCAUCAGAUACAUUUCCAGGGAACUUUUAAAAUCUACUGGAUCAGAGUUCCCAUUGUGGCUCAGCAAUAACAAACCCAACUAGUAUCCAUGAGGAUGCGGGUUCAAUCCCUGGCCUUUUUCAGUGGGUUGAAUAUCUCGCAUUGCUUUGAGCUGUAGUAUAAGUCGAAGGCGCAGUUCAGAUCUUGCAUUGCUGUGGCUGUGGCAUAGGCCAGCAGCUGUAGCUCCAAUUCAACCCUUAGCCUGGAAAUAAAUGUUAAUAUGCUGAAGGUGCAGCCCUAAAAAAAAAAAAAAAAAAUUAAAAUUAUAGUAUGUCUGGGUUGAAUUGAGAAUUCUAAACAAACAGAAAGGAGAAUUAAGGAAUUAGAUUGUGUUGCGGGAGAGGGUCAAGAAAGGCUGCUUUGAAAGGGACCACACCUGUGGCACAUGGAGGUUCCCAGGCUAGGGGUCUAAUUGGAGCUGUUGCUGCUGGCCUAUGCCAGAACCACAGCAAUACCAGAUCCAAGCCUCGUCUGCGACCUAUACCACAGCUCACAGCAAUGUUGGCUCCUUAACCCACUGAGCAAAGCCAGGGAUCGAACCCUCAACCUCAUGGUUCCUAGUCAGAUUUGUUUCCGCUGCGCCAUGGUGGGAACUCCAGCUUUAAUUUUUUGUCUCCCACUAGAAUUUAACAUCCAUGAUGACACAGAAUAGUGCCUGUUUUGUUCAAGGCUGUAUGUACCUCUGGUGCCUAGAAUAGUGGUUGGAACAAGUAGGUGUUCAGAAAAUAUUUUUUUUAGCUUGAUUGAAGAAUGCUUGACAAAUGAAAAUUGUAAAAUUUAAGCUGUACUUCUUGAUGUUUUGAUAUACAUAUGCCUGUGAAAUGAUCACCAGAAUCAAGCUAGUUAACACAUGCAUCACUUAACAUGAUUGUGUGUGUGUGUGUGUGUGUGUGUGUGUGUGUGUGUUGAAAGAAAAUAAUUGUGGAAUGAAUUUAUUAAAUGGUUCAGUGAACUCUGUGAUAGCCUCUUUUUGGGACUCUGCCUGAGAAGCCCAUCAACUACUGAGUGGUGCCUCCCUGGCCUGAGAGGCAUGGGCCUUGGGUGCUCUGGCUCAGGUGUCCCCAAAGACUCUUUUCCAGUGUGGGGACCACCUGGCAUCCAUAUUUACCUCAAUGCUGGCUUCAGAUCACCCCUUCUGGGGAAUUAUCUGAAAGUAGACUUUUUUCUUUUUUUUUUGUCUUUUUUAGGGCCGUUCCUGCGGCAUAUGGAGGUUCCUAGGCUAGGGGUUUAAUCAGAGCUCUAGCCACCGGCCUAUGCCAGAGCCACAGCAACGCGGGAUCUGAGCCACGUCUGCAACCUACACCAUAGCUCACGGCAACGCCGGAUCCUUAACCCACUGAGCAAGGGCAGGGAUCGAACCCGCAACCUCAUGGUUCCUAGUCGGAUUCAUUAAUUACUGCGCCACCAUGGGAACUCUGAAAAUAGACAUUUUUUAUCAUGCCUGUCCACAAUGGCCACAGCGAAUUAAAAUGGGUUGCUUUACCAGCUAACCAUUGGGAGUAUUCGAAUGCCCGUUGAAUUUCUCAAAGCCAUACACAUACUUGUGGCCAGAGGAGGUGCUGUCCAUCUCCGGAGGUUCUCCCUGCAGAGUUGGAGCUGAGCCAUGCCUAAGAUAGCAGUGUGAUUCAGGGCUCAGGAUGUAAUAGACUGAAAGGGAGGAAACCAUGGUUGAAUGAACACCUGUUGUGUGUAGCACAUGACCACAAUGGUUAUGUAGUUAUCUCACUCUUAACCAUAUUUGAACCUUGAGGUUGCUGAUUUUUUUUUAAGAUUUUUAUCUUUUUGAUUAUAGUUGACUUCCAAUGUCCUGUCAAUUUCUGCUGUACAGCAAAGUGACUCAGUCAUACAUAUAUAUACAUUCUUUUUCUCACAUUAUCCUCCAUCAUGUUUCCUCACAAGUGACUAGAUAGAGUUCCCUAUGCUAUACAGCAGGAUCUCAUUGUUUAUCCACUCCAAAUGCAAUAGUUUGCAUCUACUAACUCCAAAUUCCCAGUCCAUCCCACUCUCUCCCCCUCCCCUUUGGCAAUCACAAACCUAUUCUCCAGGUCCAUGAGUUUGUUUCCUUUCUGUAGAUACGUUCAUUUGUGCCAUAUAUUAGAUUCCAGAUUUAAGUGGUAUGAUAUGGUAUUUGUCUUUCUCUUUCUGACUUCACUUGGUGUGAGAGUCUCUCCUUCCAUCUAUGUUGCUGCAAAUGGCAUUAUUUUGUUCUUUUUUAUGGCUGAAUAGUAUUCCAUUGUGUGUAUGUACCAUAUCUUCUUAAUCCAUUCAUCUGUUGAUGGACAGGUUGUUUCCAUGUCUGGGCUACUGUGAAUAGUGCUGCAGUGAACAUACGGAUGCAUGUGUCUUUUUCAAGGAAAGUUUGUCCAGAUAUAUGUCCAAGAGAGGGAUUGCUGGAUCAUAUGGUAGUUCUAUAUUUAGUUUUCUGAGGAACCUCCAUACUGUUUUCCAUAGUGGUUGUACCAGUUUACUUCCCACCAACAGUGUAGGAGGGUU
rnacentral:lncRNA from 1 species